rnacentral:rRNA from 1 species
GCAGGCCUAACACAUGCAAGUCGAGCGGAUGAAGGGAGCUUGCUCCCUGAUUUAGCGGCGGACGGGUGAGUAAUGCCUAGGAAUCUGCCUGGUAGUGGGGGAUAACGUUCCGAAAGGAACGCUAAUACCGCGUACGUCCUACGGGAGAAAGCAGGGGACCUUCGGGCCUUGCGCUAUCAGAUGAGCCUAGGUCGGAUUAGCUAGUUGGUGAGGUAAUGGCUCACCAAGGCGACGAUCCGUAACUGGUCUGAGAGGAUGAUCAGUCACACUGGAACUGAGACACGGUCCAGACUCCUACGGGAGGCAGCAGUGGGGAAUAUUGGACAAUGGGCGAAAGCCUGAUCCAGCCAUGCCGCGUGUGUGAAGAAGGUCUUCGGAUUGUAAAGCACUUUAAGUUGGGAGGAAGGGCUGCUGGUUAAUACCCUGCAGUUUUGACGUUACCAACAGAAUAAGCACCGGCUAACUUCGUGCCAGCAGCCGCGGUAAUACGAAGGGUGCAAGCGUUAAUCGGAAUUACUGGGCGUAAAGCGCGCGUAGGUGGUUCGUUAAGUUGGAUGUGAAAGCCCCGGGCUCAACCUGGGAACUGCAUCCAAAACUGGCGAGCUAGAGUACGGUAGAGGGUGGUGGAAUUUCCUGUGUAGCGGUGAAAUGCGUAGAUAUAGGAAGGAACACCAGUGGCGAAGGCGACCACCUGGACUGAUACUGACACUGAGGUGCGAAAGCGUGGGGAGCAAACAGGAUUAGAUACCCUGGUAGUCCACGCCGUAAACGAUGUCAACUAGCCGUUGGAAUCCUUGAGAUUUUAGUGGCGCAGCUAACGCAUUAAGU